UAGAUGAGCUGACAGACCCUGGCUGAGCAGGAAGUGGCAGGGUCAGGAAAAGCUAGGCCACAAGUUUUCCCUUGAGAGCCUUAGAGUCUAGCCCUGUCGCCCAGGCUGGAGUGCCAUGGUUUGAACUCUACUCACCGCAACCUCCACCUCCCAGGUUCAAAUGAUUCUCCUGCCUCAGCCUCCUGAAUAUCUGGGAUUACAGGCUGGAGUGCGAUGGCGCGAUCUCUACUCACUGCAACCUCCAUCUCCUGGGUUCAAGCAAUUCUCCCUCAGCCUCCCGAGUAGCUAGGACUACAGCCAGCAAGGGAGACAGUGUCUAGAGGCAGUCAUCUAGCAAGAUGGAGACUUACAACAUGAGGCACAUACAAGAGUGACCUCCCAUCGUCUUUGAGGCAUUCUAUUUCUUAGCCUCCCUCUGGAGCGAAGUGGCAUAAUCUCGGCUCACUGCAACCUCUGCCUCCCAGGUUCAAGCGAUUCUCAUGUCUCGGCCUCUUGAGUAACUGGGAUUACAGGUGUCUUUGUGAAGCUUCCUAUCUUUGCUUUUCAACUAAGAUGAAACAGCAUUUAAAAGAAAAUGCCAUGUGAGAUGAGAUCAGGAGAAUGGAUUCUUUCUUUCAUCUGAAUAGAGAGCUGCUGUUCGAGGUGAGAAAUUUUAGAAAGAACCAGCUAAGCAGUUGUGGCUUGGAAUUUCUUAACACGUUAAGAGACAGAGCAACUGUAGCUGGAACAGAGAUUCUAACUCAAAUAGCUCAAAGGACACCUUCUCCGGGAAACCUUCCCUGACUUCCGACGCUGUUUCCUGUUUUGCAGGAAAGAAUACACAAGCUCAGAAUCUCUUGGGCUGAGUGACAAAGGAGGAAAAGGGAUGGUUCCAAGUAGGAUUGGAGCUUCUGCUUCCUCACUUCCUCACGUAGCUCCAUCUGCCUCUUCAGAGAGCUCCCAUCUCCCACUGUGUGCAGCUGAGUUCCAAGCACUCCUGGCGGCAUAAUGACUGGGACAAAGAUAUUUCCUGCAGUUGUCAAUGGUGCUCCUAUACUGAAACUCUCCUAGGAACUUGGCCAAAUCUUCCUGCUCCCCAUCCCUGAUUUCUGUGAACAAGAGGGAAGACUUUGUCACACUUCUCAUUGGUGAUCAUAUUAAUUUCUAGGCCAUGUGUAUCUAGAUAUGAAAUAAUAUUUCUGUUAUUUUAAAAUAUAAGAUCCUUGGAAGAUGUCAUCUAUUGGAACAUGUAACUAUAUAGCCAGAAGAGGAGAUCACUAGAGCCAGACUGCUCUGUCUACAUACUUAAAAAGACAUUUGGAGGAAGAGAGCAUCUGCAAAUGUUGAUGAAAAUGGGUUUGGAACUUCUCUUUUGAUCAGGAAAUAGGUAGACCAUAAAAUGUCUGAUGCAUGUUGCUGCCUGAAGCAAACCCACAAUCUGGAACCCAGUCAUCUUGUUGCUCUAGAAAGCAUCAAGAGAAAAUGGAAGAAGGCUUAAAAGGCCCAUCACAUUUUAAUCUCUAUGGUUGGAUUAAUCAAAAGUUUUCAUAGUUUUACUAAAGAAAAAUGAGUGGUCAUUUAUACUUCAUCUCUAACAAGAAACUUUUUUGUCCAGUGCUCAAAAAUACAUAUGCUAUUAUGCUAUAGUUUC
ensembl:lncRNA HULC hepatocellular carcinoma up-regulated long non-coding RNA